rnacentral:rRNA from 1 species
AGAGUUUGAUCAUGGCUCAGAAUCAACGCUGGCGGCGCGCUUAACACAUGCAAGUCGCACGAGAAAGUGGAGCAAUCCAUGAGUAAAGUGGCGUACGGGUGAGUAACACGUGGAUCAUCUACCUUUUAGUGGGGAAUACCCCUGGGAAACCGGGGAUAAUACCGCAUAAGCUCGAGAGAGGAAAGCAGCAAUGCGCUGAAAGAGGAGUCCGCGGCUGAUUAGCUAGAUGGCGGGGUAACGGCCCACCAUGGCGAAGAUCGGUAGCCGGCCUGAGAGGGCACACGGCCACACUGGCACUGAAACACGGGCCAGACUCCUACGGGAGGCAGCAGUGGGGAAUCUUGCACAAUGGAGGAAACUCUGAUGCAGCGACGCCGCGUGAGCGAUGAAGCCCUUCGGGGUGUAAAGCUCUUUCGACGGGAACGAUAAUGACGGUACCCGAAGAAGAAGCUGCGGCUAACUACGUGCCAGCAGCCGCGGUAAUACGUAGGCAGCGAGCGUUGUUCGGAAUUACUGGGCGUAAAGAGUGUGUAGGCGGUGUUCUAAGUCUGGUGUGAAAUCUCCCGGCUCAACUGGGAGGGUGCGCCGGAAACUGGAAUGCUAGAGUGUGGGAGAGGUAAGCGGAAUUCCUGGUGUAGCGGUGAAAUGCGUAGAUAUCAGGAGGAACACCUGUGGUGUAGACAGCUUACUGGACCACGACUGACGCUGAGACACGAAAGCGUGGGUAGCAAACAGGAUUAGAUACCCUGGUAGUCCACGCCCUAAACGAUGCAUACUUGGUGUGAGCGAUUCAUUUCGUUCGUGCCGGAGCUAACGCGUUAAGUAUGCCGCCUGGGGAGUACGGUCGCANGGCUGAAACUCAAAGGAAUUGACGGGGGCCCGCACAAGCGG